CCUACGGGGGGCUGCAGUGGGGAAUUUUGGACAAUGGGGGCAACCCUGAUCCAGCCAUUCCGCGUGAGUGAAGAAGGCCUUCGGGUUGUAAAGCUCUUUCGGCCGGGAAGAAAUCGCAUCUCCUAAUACGGGGUGUGGAUGACGGUACCGGAAGAAGAAGCACCGGCUAACUACGUGCCAGCAGCCGCGGUAAUACGUAGGGUGCGUGCGUUAAUCGGAAUGACUGGAGGUGACUCGUGCGGACACGGCUGAAGUCCCCGGGCUUAACCUGGGAACUGCGGUUGUGACUGGUGGGCUUGAGUGCGGCAGAGGGGGGUGGAAUUCCACGUGUAGCAGUGAAAUGCGUAGAGAUGUGGAGGAACACCGAUGGCGAAGGCAGCCCCCUGGGUCGACACUGACGCUCAUGCACGAAAGCGUGGGGAGCAAACAGGAUUAGAUACCCCUGUAGUC
rnacentral:rRNA from 1 species